rnacentral:SRP_RNA from 1 species
UUUUUGGGUAGGCUGGGCGGUUCGGGGCCGCUUGUAACCCUGAAAUCCUCGUUAUGCAGUUGGAGCCGAAAACCGUUGUGGAGGUGUUCUUUUCAAUGGUUUGGCCCAUGGGAUGGUUGUUUGACGAUCCGUCCUCCGGGAUGUCGCAGGCUGUGAACCGGGUCAGGACCUGGCGGUAGCAGCCCUAAGCAGUCAGUGGCAUGUUCGGAGGGUGGCGGAUCCGAGACUGUGCCGUGGAUUCACCAGCCGUUGAAAGACAUCAACCUUCGGGAACCCGUUGU